UCAAAGUUCCUUAAAAAAAAAUUCUUUAACAGUUCCUGUAGGUGGAGCACACCUUUUAAAAGUUGAGUCAGACCUCCAUGAAAAAUAAACACGAUAGCAAAAUUCGAUGUUGUUGCGCCGCUGUCACUCGAUGGCAAUACUACAAUGCUCCUCCGCCCUAUCGCCACCGCUUCCAAGGUGGUCGCCCCUGCCUCGCCGCCCCAUAUCCGUUUUUCCCACUUCCUUAACUUCAUUCCCUUUCCCUUCAAUUUUUCAAGCCACAUCUCG
rnacentral:lncRNA from 1 species